GCGGUGCGUUCACUCAGCAUGCAGUCGAGCGGACAGAUGGGAGCUUGCUCCCUGAUGUUAGCGGCGGACGGGUGAGUAACACGUGGGUAACCUGCCUGUAAGACUGGGAUAACUCCGGGAAACCGGGGCUAAUACCGGAUGGUUGUUUGAACCGCAUGGUUCAAACAUAAAAGGUGGCUUCGGCUACCACUUACAGAUGGACCCGCGGCGCAUUAGCUAGUUGGUGAGGUAACGGCUCACCAAGGCAACGAUGCGUAGCCGACCUGAGAGGGUGAUCGGCCACACUGGGACUGAGACACGGCCCAGACUCCUACGGGAGGCAGCAGUAGGGAAUCUUCCGCAAUGGACGAAAGUCUGACGGAGCAACGCCGCGUGAGUGAUGAAGGUUUUCGGAUCGUAAAGCUCUGUUGUUAGGGAAGAACAAGUACCGUUCGAAUAGGGCGGUACCUUGACGGUACCUAACCAGAAAGCCACGGCUAACUACGUGCCAGCAGCCGCGGUAAUACGUAGGUGGCAAGCGUUGUCCRGAAUUAUUGGGCGUAAAGGGCUCGCAGGCGGUUUCUUAAGUCUGAUGUGAAAGCCCCCGGCUCAACCGGGGAGGGUCAUUGGAAACUGGGGAACUUGAGUGCAGAAGAGGAGAGUGGAAUUCCACGUGUAGCGGUGAAAUGCGUAGAGAUGUGGAGGAACACCAGUGGCGAAGGCGACUCUCUGGUCUGUAACUGACGCUGAGGAGCGAAAGCGUGGGGAGCGAACAGGAUUAGAUACCCUGGUAGUCCACGCCGUAAACGAUGAGUGCUAAGUGUUAGGGGGUUUCCGCCCCUUAGUGCUGCAGCUAACGCAUUAAGCACUCCGCCUGGGGAGUACGGUCGCAAGACUGAAACUCAAAGGAAUUGACGGGGGCCCGCACAAGCGGUGGAGCAUGUGKUUUUAAUUCGAAGCAACGCGWAGAACCUUACCAKGUCUUGACAUCCUCUGACAAUCCUAGAGAUAGGACGUCCCCUUCGGGGGCAGAGUGACAGGUGGUGCAUGGUUGUCGUCAGCUCGUGUCGUGAGAUGUUGGGUUAAGUCCCGCAACGAGCGCAACCCUUGAUCUUAGUUGCCAGCAUUCAGUUGGGCACUCUAAGGUGACUGCCGGUGACAAACCGGAGGAAGGUGGGGAUGACGUCAAAUCAUCAUGCCCCUUAUGACCUGGGCUACACACGUGCUACAAUGGACAGAACAAAGGGCAGCGAAACCGCGAGGUUAAGCCAAUCCCACAAAUCUGUUCUCAGUUCGGAUCGCAGUCUGCAACUCGACUGCGUGAAGCUGGAAUCGCUAGUAAUCGCGGAUCAGCAUGCCGCGGUGAAUACGUUCCCGGGCCUUGUACACACCGCCCGUCACACCACGAGAGUUUGUAACACCCGAAGUCGGUGAGGUAACCUUUUAGGAGCCAGCCGCCGAAGGUGGGACAGAUGAUUGGGGUGAAGUCGUAAGCUGACGAUGACCGUCGUCC
rnacentral:rRNA from 1 species